CGUGUGCCUAUGAUGGUGUUAAAUAUACUCCGAGAUUUUUGUCUAUGAUAUCAACUUCAAUCUGAGGCACUGA